AUUCUCCUUUCUCCCCUUAUUAAAAUAUUAUUUAAUAUUUAUUUAUUUUUAAAUAGAAAAUGUGGGUCCAGAUGGUGCAAAGACUCCAAUACCCUUAACAAAUUAGAAUAUUCUCAAACCCAACCUCUAAUUUAUCCACCCACCCAAAACAAAUCGGAUCUAACCCGUCCCUCUUCUCUCUCUCUCGUAACGUAAAGAAAAAAAUGGAAGAGGAAAACGCAGAGUACCGUUUGGAGAGCUUGAGAUGGCUGGCCUUGAUCGACGAGCCUCCGAGCUGCGGAGAGGAAAUCAUCCUUGGCGGUGGUGGGCUUGUCGAGAACGAAAGUCUGUAUUCCGAUGUUCUCUCACCCUUUCAACCUCCCGAUUUUCGUCCGCCUCCUCUCUGUUCAGUUGACCUCAACUUGAAAAUCUCGGGAAUUGAAUCGAAGAAUUUCUGAAUGGAAUUGUUGAUUGAACUACUUUAGGAAGAUGAUAAGAACGUGAUGACCCCAUUUUGGUUCGUCUGCUCGUCUCGUACUCUUUGGGUGUGAGGAGAAGACUAUAGCCGUAAUCAUGCAUGGGGAGAGCAGCAAACACAUGUUUUACAACAACGAAUCUUAAACCUAUAGGGACCGCACACACUCCACUCUGCGGCUGCUUCAAUUCCUUGAUCCUAUGCUCGCUAAUUCCCUCGGCAUCGGUUCACCACACUAUGUUUAGACGGAUCCUCCAUCUAAAAGGCUGUUUGGACCAAGUUGUGGAGAAGCUUGAAUUGGUUUUCCAACAAAAAAAGCCGCUAAUUUGUUCCUAAAAGCUGCUGAAAAAAGCUGAAUCUGUUUGAAAGCUCCCAAACAGUAUGAAAUCUGAUGAGUGACAAGUAGUGUCACAUAUCUGAAGUAGUCUCGAGUGACAAGUCUCAUCUUCAACGAUGUAUUUCACAUGGUGCAUAGAGACAUACGGGAACUUUUUCAUGGGUUCUGUGCACUUCUUCAUAGUAUUGUAAUCAUGUUUGGGAAAUGUUUGUCUGCUGAUGUAAAUUAGCAUUGUAAUAGCAGAAGUUCCAUAGAGAAAAUAAUGAAAAUUAAUGUUAAUUAUAUUUGCUAUUACUGAUGUUUGCUUUUAAAUCUUCUAGGUUUGUAAAAGGUUUGUGGACUAUUAGAAUACAAAGUAAUAAUACUAUGUGUGAAAAUAUAUAAUUAGCCGAAAAUAUAAAGUUGUAUAAAGCAUAUAAUAAGCCGAAAAUAUAUAGAGCUGUUAGAAAUAACCAUAAUACAUAGUAGUACAAGGUAAUCAAAAAAGUAGUCCAAUGUAAUCCUACUAGUGCUACUAAUCCACAAUACACAUUUAUAUUGAGCAAAUAUAAUAUUAUUUUUUAAAAUUUAUAUAAAAUAGUAUAUAUAUCCUUUUGUUUCAAGAAAAACGUAACUUUGAUAUUUUUACAAAGAUUAGAAAUGAUUUAAAUGCAUUCAUAAAUACAUAUAUUUUAUCAAAACUAUUUUUUGAAAAAAUUAUUUAUAAAAUCAAAGCAUUGUAUUUUUGAAAUUUAUUUUUGAAAUUUACUUUUAAUUAAAAUAUUUAAUAUUUUAAUUACACUUAGUAAUUCUUGGUAAUCUUCAAGGUAGUAGUAAUACUACCUUACACAUAGUAAUAUUUUGGCAAAUUUUAAGUUUUAUUAGUAAAACCAUGUCCAAAUGAAAUAUUUUUUAGUAAAACCAAUGAUUUUAUACAAUUAAUGUCAUUAAGAAAGAGUAUUACAUACACAAUUUACCAGAAAUAAGUAUUUUUAUAGAUUCUUGUUACUAUAACCUUACGAUUCACACAACAACCAUGAAAGUUAAGGCAUCAUUUUGGGAAAAUGAUAAAUAUUCCUAAACUAUAUAAAUUAAUCAUCUAAAUAGUUUUAAUAGUCGUAUUUACUAUAUAUAUAGUCUACUAAUAGAUACUAAAUGAGUUUUAUAUGUUAAAUAUACGUACUACUUGCAAUAUAUAGGGUUUCAAAUUAUACAUAAUAUAACCAAGUAAUCAUAGUAGUCUGAAUUACACAUAAUAAACCCAGUAGUCCUAGUAGUACAAAUCACACACAAUAAAUCCAGUAAUCUUAGUAUUCCGAUUACACACAAUAAACCCAAUAAUCCUAGUAUCUUAGAUAAAGCCCACACCUGUCGUGCUGGAUGACAAUAAAAAAACACAUGGUUUAUCGAUUCCUCCUGAUCACCACAACGUGAGCAAAAUAUAUCUCCUUGUAUUCCUCUUGCAUUUAGGUUCUUCAUGACCGCUAUACAUCCUGAAAGUAGUCGCCAUAAGAAAUGCAUUAUCUUCGGAGGACACUUCAAAUUCCAGCAGUAGGCUUUAAGAACAUCAACUGUGGGUCCAUAAAAUUCUGGUGGUUUUUCCUUAUCUGGAUAGACUCUUUCCACUUGAUACCCAGAUUGUACCGUAUAUUUUCCAUUGUUAGUAAAAUGCCAUCCAAACUUAUCAUCCAUCUGAUUUGUACUCAAGGGAAUACUUGUAAUGAUCUUAAUAUCCUCCAGGGCAACCAAAGUGCUUAUAGCCUGUAAAAAAUACUAUCUUAUUAUUUUAUCGAUUUGUGACAUAUUUUGAACCGGCCUAAUUCGGGACCGAAGAAAUUUAUUAUUUUAUAGAGAUUUUAUAUUUAUCGAGUAUUAAUUUAUAGAGUAAUUAUUGUACUAGUUUGAUUAGUAGUACCCAUAAACUUUUAUUUUUGCGAAAUAAUCUACUUUUUAUGAAGAUAUUGUUCGGAUAAUACCACUACAAUCAUAUUUACGACCAUUUCAAAUUCCUAAUAUACUACAGAUCCAUAAACAUAGCUUAAACCUAAAUACAGUUUUCAAAAAAAAAAUCAGCCUCUCUCUAAAUUACUAUCUACUCUUACAUUAUUUACAUUACCCAUGAUAUAUAUUUCAUUUUAAUGAUAUUCUAUAAAAAAAUUAUCAAAAACGGCUAUAAAAACAACACGAAACACAAAAACAUAGUGGUGAAAAACGUUUUCAUUCUUUUAGAAUUAACAUCAAAUCUUAUUUUUUUUUAUAUUGCCCAUGAUAGAAACUUAUUUUAAUGAUAUUUAUAAAAAAAUCGUAAAAAAUGGACAUAAAUUACCUCUAUUUUGAAUUUUAAAACUCAUUAAUGGAGGAUGAAAGGUGGAGCACGAUGGGGAAGAAGAAAGAAAGGGAAAUUAAUGUGAUUCUAUUGGUUAGAGUUUUCUUGUGGGGUCAAAUAGUUUACAUUUAUGGUGAGUUUAUUAAAAUGAAUAAUUUAAUAUAUUAAUGAGAUGGAAAGUGAAGUGUAAUAUAUAUAGUAAAUAAAUAGAAGGUUAGUAUAGGGAUUGCAAUGAUAAAGGGGUAGUGGGAAUAGAGAGGGGACAAGGAGAAUGGUUUUUUUAUGAUAAGGGUAUAUUGAGUUAAAGUCCGAGAUGAUUAACUCCAUAUGCCCCUCCCACUCUUAAAAAAUCCUCCUUUCUCCCCUUAUUAAAAUAUCAUUUAAUAUUUAUUUAUUUUUAAAUAGAAAACGUGGGUCCAGAUGGUGCAAAGACUCCAAUACCCUUAACAAAUUAGAAUAUUCUCAAACCCAACCUCUAAUUUAUCCACCCACCCAAAACAAAUCGGAUCUAACCCGUCCCUCUUCUCUCUCUCUCGUAAAGUAAAGAAAAAAAUGGAAGAGGAAAACGCAGAGUACCGUUUGGAGAGCUUGAGAUGGCUGGCCUUGAUCGACGAGCCUCCGAGCUACGGAGAGGAAAUCAUCCUUGGCGGUGGUGGGCUUGUCGAGAACGAAGUCUGUAUUCCGAUGUUCUCUCACCCUUUCAACCUCCCGAUUUUCGUCCACCUCCUCUCUGUUCAGUUGACCUCAACUUGAAAAUCUCGGGAAUUGAAUCGAAGAAUUUCUGAAUUGAAUUGUUGAUUGAACUACUUUAGGAAGAUGAUAAGAACGUGAUGACCCCAUUUUGGUUCGUCUGCUCGUCUCGUACUCUUUGGGUGUGAGGAGAAGACUAUAGCCGUAAUCAUGCAUGGGGAGAGCAGCAAACACAUGUUUUACAACAACGAAUCUUAAACCUAUAGGGACCGCACACACUCCACUCUGCGGCUGCUUCAAUUCCUUGAUCCUAUGCUCGCUAAUUCCCUCGGCAUCGGUUCACCACACUAGUACGAUCUCGAGCUUUGAAGGUUCAAAUCUUCUUUAUUUUGCUUAUUUAUUUCAAAAAUCAUAAAAUUCAUGAGAAAAUUUAAAGUUUUGUAAUUGAGAUCAGAAUCGGGGGUUUUCUUUAUAGAUUCAUGUUCUUGGUAAACGAGAUCGUGGCGUUGUAUUUGGAUAUAACAAUGAAGAUGAGACGCUGUGUGUGUCGUGUGUGGGAUUGUGCUUCUGAACAUAUCUUGAUUCGAUUCUAUUCUGUUUUGUAGGCAUACUAAAAACGUUAACUUGUUCUUUGACGUUCUAUAUUUGCUGAAUGGAUUUUACAUUUCAUAACUAGUACCUAUUUGAUAAGGUGGUAUAGAAUUAAGAUCUGGGUUCUUUUGAAAAAGUUCAUUUUGGCUUUACAAAUAUGUAGUGCUUAGACGGAUCCUCCAUCUAAAAGGCUGUUUGGACCAAGUUGGGGAGAAGCUUGAAUUGGUUUUCCAACAAAAAAAAGCCGCUAAUUUGUUCCUAAAAGCUGCUGAAAAAAGCUGAAUCUGUUUGAAAGCUCCCAAACAGUAUGGAAUCUGAUGAGUGACAAGUAGUGUCACAUAUCUGAAGUAGUCUCGAGUGACAAGUCUCAUCUUCAACGAUGUAUUUCACAUGGUGCAUAGAGACAUACGAGAACUUUUUCAUGGGUUCUGUGCACUUCUUCAUAGUAUUGUAAUCAUGUUUGGGAAAUGUUUGUCUGCUGAUGUAAAUUAGCAUUGUAAUAGCAGAAGUUCCAUAGAGAAAAUAAUGAAAAUUAAUGUUAAUUAUAUUUGCUAUUACUGAUGUUUGCUUUUAAAUCUUCUAGGUUUGUAAAAGGUUUGUGGACUAUUAGAAUACAAAGUAAUAAUACUAUGUGUGAAAAUAUAUAAUUAGCCGAAAAUAUAAAGUUGUAUAAAGCAUAUAAUAAGCCGAAAAUAUAUAGAGCUGUUAGAAAUAACCAUAAUACAUAGUAGUACAAGGUAAUCAAAAAAGUAGUCCAAUGUAAUCCUACUAGUGCUACUAAUCCACAAUACACAUUUAUAUUGAGCAAAUAUAAUAUUAUUUUUUAAAAUUUAUAUAAAAUAGUAUAUAUAUCCUUUUGUUUUAAGAAAAACGUAACUUUGAUAUUUUUACAAAGAUUAGAAAUGAUUUAAAUGCAUUCAUAAAUACAUAUAUUUUAUCAAAACUAUUUUUUGAAAAAAUUAUUUAUAAAAUCAAAGCAUUGUAUUUUUGAAAUUUAUUUUUGAAAUUUACUUUUAAUUAAAAUAUUUAAUAUUUUAAUUACACUUAGUAAUUCUUGGUAAUCUUCAAGGUAGUAGUAAUACUACCUUACACAUAGUAAUAUUUUGGCAAAUUUUAAGUUUUAUUAGUAAAACCAUGUCCAAAUGAAAUAUUUUUUAGUAAAACCAAUGAUUUUAUACAAUUAAUGUCAUUAAGAAAGAGUAUUACAUAAACAAUUUACCAGAAAUAAGUAUUUUUAUAGAUUCUUGUUACUAUAACCUUACGAUUCACACAACAACCAUGAAAGUUAAGGCAUCAUUUUGGGAAAAUGAUAAAUAUUCCUAAACUAUAUAAAUUAAUCAUCUAAAUAGUUUUAAUAGUCGUAUUUACUAUAUAUAUAGUCUACUAAUAGAUACUAAAUGAGUUUUAUAUGUUAAAUAUACGUACUACUUGCAAUAUAUAGGGGUUUCAAAUUAUACAUAAUAUAACCAAGUAAUCAUAGUAGUCUGAAUUACACAUAAUAAACCCAGUAGUCCUAGUAGUACGAAUCACACACAAUAAAUCCAGUAAUCUUAGUAUUCCGAUUACACACAAUAAACCCAAUAAUCCUAGUAUCUUAGAUAAAGCCCACACCUGUCGUGCUGGAUGACAAUAAAAAACUCAUGGUUUAUCGAUUCCUCCUGAUCACCACAACGUGAGCAAAAUAUAUCUCCUUGUAUUCCUCUUGCAUUUAGGUUCUUCAUGACCGCUAUACAUCCUGAAAGUAGUCGCCAUAAGAAAUGCAUUAUCUUCGGAGGACACUUCAAAUUCCAGCAGUAGGCUUUAAGAACAUCAACUGUGGGUCCAUAAAAUUCUGGUGGUUUUUCCUUAUCUGGAUAGACUCUUUCCACUUGAUACCCAGAUUGUACCGUAUAUUUUCCAUUGUUAGUAAAAUGCCAUCCAAGCUUAUCAUCCAUCUGAUUUGUACUCAAGGGAAUACUUGUAAUGAUCUUAAUAUCCUCUGGGGCAAUCAAAGUGCUUAUAGCCUGUAAAAAAUACUAUCUUAUUAUUUUAUCGAUUUGUGACAUAUUUUGAACCGGCCUAAUUCGGGACCGAAGAAAUUUAUUAUUUUAUAGAGAUUUUAUAUUUAUCUAGUAUUAAUUUAUAGAGUAAUUAUUGUACUAGUUUGAUUAGUAGUACCCAUAAACUUUUAUUUUUGCGAAAUAAUCUACUUUUUAUGAAGAUAUUGUUCGGAUAAUACCACUACAAUCAUAUUUACGACCAUUUCAAAUUCCUACUAUACUACAGAUCCAUAAACAUAGCUUAAACCUAAAUACAGUUUUCAAAAAAAAAAUCAGCCUCUCUCUAAAUUACUAUCUACUCUUACAUUAUUUACAUUACCCAUGAUAUAUAUUUCAUUUUAAUGAUAUUCUAUAAAAAAAUUAUCAAAAACGGCUAUAAAAACAACACGAAACACAAAAACAUAGUGGUGAAAAACGUUUUCAUUCUUUUAGAAUUAACAUCAAAUCUUAUUUUUUUUAUAUUGCCCAUGAUAGAAACUUAUUUUAAUGAUAUUUAUAAAAAAAUCGUAAAAAAUGGACAUAAAUUACCUCUAUUUUGAAUUUUAAAACUCAUUAAUGGAGGAUGAAAGGUGGAGCACGAUGGGGAAGAAGAAAGAAAAGGAAAUUAGUGUGAUUCUAUUGGUUAAAGUUUUCUUGUGGGGUCAAAUAGUUUACAUUUAUGGUGAGUUUAUUAAAAUGAAUAAUUUAAUAUAUUAAUGAGAUGGAAAGUGAAGUGUAAUAUAUAUAGUAAAUAAAUAGAAGGUUAGUAUAGGGAUUGCAAUGAUAAAUGGGUAGUGGGAAUAGAGAGGAGACAAGGAGAAUGGUUUUUUUAUGAUAAGGAUAUAUUGAGUUAAAGUCCCGCCGGAGGGGGGGAGCUGUAUAACGACGCUGCACUUAGAUUUCUUUUUGUUUUGUUUGUUAAUUUUUUUGUCGCAAAAAGAAUAGGGCAAUUAGUUAGGGCAUGACUAGAUAGCGGUUGCCAAUACAAAUGCUUGAAUCUACAUAUGCUAGUGGUUCAAUUUCAAACGUUAUUAGAGCUCCGAUUGGCAUUGAAAUUGAAAUGGCUUAGCGAUUUUACUUGUUUUGCUUGUGUGGACGGUUUGGUUAAUUAGUCUUAUAAAUUGGUUUGGUUUAUAUACGUCAUCAUUAGAGCAGCAUUAAAGCUGUCUCUUAAAUAGGUUUUUUAGUAUAAUUGUGAUUUAAAAAAAAAAGUAAUUACCACAAGAGAUGUCUCCUAAUUACCACAAGAGACGUCUCGUCUCCUAAUUAAGGUGUGGAAGAGCCGUCUCUUCUCUUCAUCUCUCCGUCUCUAUCUCUUCCUCUCUAUCUCUUCCUCCCUGUCUCUCUCCUCUCUGUCUCUCUCCCGAUGAUGAAUCCACAAGGCCAUCUCGAACCUGAUUCCGAACCUCCUCCGACGAUUCCUUCGAGUCGGUGGGUGUUGAGAUGAGGAAUGGUGAAGAAACUAAAUGUGUUUUCCCCAUGACGAGUCUCCAGAUCGGAGACUUGCAAUCAUAUCUUUCUGAUCUCAGUAUUUUCAUGGCCAAUAAAAGCAAGAAGAUUUACAUAUUGGUAGACAACCGGCCAUGGUUGAAUCCUGGCACCCGAUCUGCUCACUUCUGGAAACUUAUGGUUACAAAGUCCAGACUCUCUUUGACUCGCGUUGAUCGACGCCACAACCUUUUCCAAGAACAAAAAUACCUGCAAAGAAACUGCAAAGCUCUUUGUAUCUAAACAAGCAGCUGCACAAGACAUUGUACUGUUUCAUCGUGUUUGAAGUUGAGUGGGAGAAUGUGAGGGGUAUCAAUUACCUGAAUGAGCUACAGACAGACACCUCUCUUGCUAUUGAAGCUAAGUUGAUGCGAAGGUGGGAGUUCGAGAGCAGCUGCACAAGACAUUGUACGGUUUCAUCGUGCUUGAAGUUGAGUGGGACAAUGUGAGGGGUAUCAAUUACCUGAAUGAGCUACAUACAGACACCUCUCUUGCUAUUGAAGCUAAGUUGAUAUGAAGGUGGGAGUUCGAGAGCAUCGACCAAGCUGUAACGAAUAUGUCUCAGUGGUUCUCUGGAUCAAAAUCAGAAAGAUCUUGCUUGAUGGAAUAUCUUGAUACAACUAAAGGUAUUAUUCCCUUUUCACUAAUGGCUUAUCGUUCUCUAGAUCAAGUAAGCUUACACAAUAUUGUUCCCUUGUAAUCUUCUCUAUAUUAAGUUUUGGUAAAACCAAACAAUUUGAUCACAAAUUUUCUUUUUCUCUCAUUCUUUCUAUAAAGUCAUAUUCUCUUUUCUCAUUCUCUAUAUAAAGGGUUAAAUCAUUUUCUAUAUAAACCGAAUAAUUUUUUUUUAAGAACUCUUAAUUAAGGGAGUAUCAUUGGAGCAUAUAAAUGUUGAUGUCUCUUAACUAAGUUCUUAAGUAACAUUUAUUAUUAAAAAAAAUCAUUAAGAGACCCUAAUGGGGUUGUAAGGUUAAUCAUGCUCUUAGUGCUUUAAAAGGAGGCAGUAAGGCUUCAGAAUGGUGAUGUGGUUUGUCUAUGUGCUAGCCAAAGUGAACUUGGUAGAGUGAGCAUCUGCUGUUAAGCUCUGCCAGUUAGUGUUAUCUUGACUCAUGUCGGAUCUAGGUUUUGUUGUUGAACGUCGUUGCUUAGACUUUCAAGGCAACCUUCGACGCAGCCUCUACUAUCUGCUUAGAUGAAUGAUUCUUUGUUUGUUUUACGAGAGGAAAUAACUUUCUUUUGCUACAUAAGCAUUUGUUAAAUCUUUUUCUUGUAUCUCCUUUUGACUCGUUUAUGGCUUCGGCUUUAUUCGAUUCUAAGUUAUUAUCGUUACUUUUACAUUCUAAUGCUAGCAAACAGAUGUGUUUGAGUCUUAAUUGUCUUUAUUUCCAUGUUUUGUUUUUCUUGAUGUGGACUAAUCGUUUCAGAUCUUUCGAUCUAUUAAAGAAAAUUGUAACU